rnacentral:lncRNA from 1 species
AGGAUCUUAAUGAUGAGCAAUGAUCUUUUCUUCAGUGUUUUGGCACGUGCUCUGCAGAGCCCCUGAGGCAAAAAGUAGUGAGUUGAACAACUGUUCAGGAAAGAAAAUAACUUGCCUCAAGAGAUACUAAUUUUACAAAGGCUGCUCCCAUUAGAGGCUGACAAGGACACGGGUGAGCACGGAUUAAAGGAAUGAUGUGUCCCAGAUUGCGUCUUCUCCUCUACCCUGCAUCCAAGGCACCGAUGAGAACUGACUUCAUGGUUCUGAGGACCAAACAAGUCCGGGGAAGAAACAGGUCAUACAAGUCUUUGUGAUCUCAUGGCUGAAAAUAGUCUUAUCUGACAUAGGGCCUGAAAUAAGCUGCAGCUUCUGCCUCCCUAAGAGUUUUGGUAUUUCAGAAUAAGUAGCAUUUGAGUGUGUGGGCAACUUGUCCCAGCUGGGCUGGUGACAUCUGGGCUCUUCUUGCUUGGGUUUGUUUAUCUGUGACAGCUUCUAGAAGUAGCAUGCUUUUGGUGCAAGAAGGACUUCUAAAUUCUUCUGAACUUGCCAGAGUUACGCUGAAAGAAGGUCUUGUUCAGUCACAAAGCUAUAGGUCUGGAAGGGAUCACAAGGUGUCCUGCCCUUGAUACCACAGCAGGAUUCAGUGAUAGGCACCUAUGUCUGGUCUGCUCUUAAAAAUCUGCGCUUUCUUCCCCGAUAGCUUGCAGCUCUGGUCUAUUGCUCACUCUGACCACCUCACAGACUGAUAAUUCUUUUCCUCUUUCCUUGUACCCAGCUGAAACCUUCUUUACUGCAAAUUAGUUUUUCAUCCUUCUCUCCAUGGCCA